CUCCGGUUGAUCCUGCCGGAGACCACCGCUAUUGGUGUUCGCUUAAGCCAUGCGAGUCGAGAGGGUUCGGCCCUCGGCAGACCGCUCAGUAACACGUGGAGAAGCUGCCCUAAGGUGGGGGAUAAUCUCGGGAAACUGAGGAUAAUACCCCAUAGAUCUGGGAUGCUGGAACGCUUCCAGGUCGAAAGGCUUGCCGCCUUAGGAUGCCUCUGCGGCGUAUCAGGUCGUAGUGAGUGUAACGGACUCACUAGCCUUCGACGCGUACGGGCGUUGAGAGACGUCGCCCGGAGAUGAACUCUGAGACAUGAGUUCAGGCCCUACGGGGCGCAGCAGGCGCGAAAACUGCACAAUGUGGGAAACCACGAUGCGGGAACACCAAGUGCCAGCACAUAGUGUUGGCUGUUUGCGAGCCUAAAAAGCUCGGAGAGUAAGGGCUGGGUAAGACGGGUGCCAGCCGCCGCGGUAAUACCUGCAGCCCGAGUGGUGGCCGUUAUUAUUGGGCCUAAAGCGUCCGUAGCCGGUUUGGUAGAUGCCUUUGUAAAUCGAACGGCUCAACCGUUCGACUUGAGGGUAGACCGCCAGACUCGGGAUCGGGAGAGGUGCGAGGUACUCGGGGGGUAGAGGUGAAAUUCUGUAAUCCUCCGGGGACCACCGGUGGCGAAGGCGUCGCACUUGAACGACUCCGACGGUGAGGGACGAAGCCCUGGGGCGCAAACCGGAUUAGAUACCCGGGUAGUCCAGGGUGUAAACGCUGUGGGCUUGGUGUCGGCAGUCCUACGGGGGCAGCCGGUGCCGGAGAGAAGUUGUUAAGCCCACCGCCUGGGGAGUACGGCCGCAAGGUUGAAACUUAAAGGAAUUGGCGGGGGAGCA
rnacentral:rRNA from 1 species